rnacentral:rRNA from 1 species
GACGAACGCUGGCGGCGUGCCUAACACAUGCAAGUCGAACGGAAACGCCGUGCUUUUUUGCGCUGCUGGGGGGGCGAAGGGGGGAGUAACACGUAAGUAACCUACCCUUCACUUUGGGGGAAGUUCAGGAAGGUGAGGCUAAUACCGGAUAGGAUCUCCCGCUGCAGGGUGGGCGUGGGAAAGUUUCGGCGGUUGGGGAUGGACGCGCGGAUUAUGGGCUUGUUGGUGGGGUAGUGGCUGACCAAGGCCUGGAAGGGUAGCCGGCCUGGGAGGGUGACCGGCCCCAUUACGACUGAGAUACGGCCCAGACCCCAACGGGAGGCAACGGUGGGGAGUAUUAUACAAUGGGAGGGAGGCUGGUGUGAUAAAGCCGCGUGGGGGAAGACGGCCUGGGGGUAGUGAACCGCAGCUGUUUUAGACGAGGCGUGAGUGACGGUACCGGGAGAAUAAGCACCGGCUAACUACGUG